CCUCUUGUUCGGGAUAACUGCUGGAAACGGCAGCUAAUACCGGAUAAGCUCCCCCAAUUGUAUGGGGAGGAAAGGAGGCCUCUUCAUGAAAGCUUCCGCGAGGGGAUGAGUCCGCGUCCCAUUAGCUAGUUGGUGAGGUAACGGCCCACCAAGGCAACGAUGGGUAGCCGGUCUAAGAGGAUGACCGGCCACACUGGAACUGAAACACGGUCCAGACUCCUACGGGAGGCAGCAGUGGGGAAUAUUGCGCAAUGGACGAAAGUCUGACGCAGCGACGCCGCGUGAGGGAUGAAGGUUUUCGGAUCGUAAACCUCUGUCAGGAGGGAAGAAAGCGCAUGGCGCCAAUCAGCCAUGCGUUGACGGUACCUCCAAAGGAAGCGCCGGCUAACUCCGUGCCAGCAGCCGCGGUAAUACGGAGGGCGCGAGCGUUAAUCGGAAUUACUGGGCGUAAAGCGCGCGUAGGCUGUUGUGUAAGUUGGGGGUGAAAUCCCACGGCUCAACCGUGGAACAGCCCUUGAUACUGCGCGACUUGAAUCCGGGAGAGGGUGGCGGAAUUCCAGGUGUAGGAGUGAAAUCCGUAGAUAUCUGGAGGAACAUCAGUGGCGAAGGCGGCCACCUGGACCGGUAUUGACGCUGAGGCGCGAAAGCGUGGGGAGCAAACAGGAUUAGAUACCCUGGUAGUCCACGCUGUANACGAUGGAUGCUGGAUGUCGGGGAGUAAUCCCCGGUGUCGUAGCCAACGCGAUAAGCAUCCCGCCUGGGGAGUACGGUCGCAAGGCUGAAACU
rnacentral:rRNA from 1 species